rnacentral:rRNA from 1 species
AAGCAUAUCAAUAAGCGGAGGAAAAGAAACCAACAGGGAUUGCCCCAGUAACGGCGAGUGAAGCGGCAACAGCUCAAAUUUGAAAUCUGGUCCCCUCGCGGGGCCCGAGUUGUAAUUUGCAGAGGAUGCUUUUGGCGAGGCGCCUUCCGAGUUCCCUGGAACGGGACGCCAUAGAGGGUGAGAGCCCCGUCUGGUCGGACGCCUAGCCUCUGUAAAGCUCCUUCGACGAGUCGAGUAGUUUGGGAAUGCUGCUCAAAAUGGGAGGUAUAUGUCUUCUAAAGCUAAAUACCGGCCAGAGACCGAUAGCGCACAAGUAGAGUGAUCGAAAGAUGAAAAGCACUUUGAAAAGAGGGUUAAACAGUACGUGAAAUUGUUGAAAGGGAAGCGCUUGUGACCAGACUUGAGCGCGGCGGAUCAUCCGGCGUUCUCGCCGGUGCACUCCGCCGUGCCCAGGCCAGCAUCGGUUCGCGGCGGGGGAUAAAGGCGUCGGGAACGUGGCUCCCCUCGGGGAGUGUUAUAGCCCGUCGCGCAAUGCCCCGCCUGCGGACCGAGGUACGCGCUCCGCAAGGAUGCUGGCGUAAUGGUCACCAGCGACCCGUCUUGAAACACGGACCAAGGAGUCGUCUUCGUAUGCGAGUGUUCGGGUGUCAAACCCCUACGCGUAAUGAAAGUGAACGCAGGUGAGAGCUUCGGCGCAUCAUCGACCGAUCCUGAUGUUCUCGGAUGGAUUUGAGUAAGAGCAUACGGGGCCGGACCCGAAAGAAGGUGAACUAUGCCUGUAUAGGGUGAAGCCAGAGGAAACUCUGGUGGAGGCUCGCAGCGGUUCUGACGUGCAAAUCGAUCGUCAAAUAUGGGCAUGGGGGCGAAAGACUAAUCGAACCUUUCUAGUAGCUGGUUCGCGA